GAGUUUGAUCCUGGCUCAGAACGAACGCUGGCGGCGCGCCUAAUACAUGCAAGUCGAGCGAGAAGACGUAGCAAUACGUUUGUAAAGCGGCGAACGGGUGAGGAAUACAUGGGUAACCUACCCUCGAGUGGGGAAUAACUAGCCGAAAGGUUAGCUAAUACCGCAUACGACUCCUGGUCUGCGGAUCGGGAGGGAAAGCGAUACCGUGGGUAUCGCGCUCUUGGAUGGGCUCAUGUCCUAUCAGCUUGUUGGUGAGGUAAUGGCUCACCAAGGCUUCGACGGGUAGCUGGUCUGAGAGGACGAUCAGCCACACUGGCACUGCGACACGGGCCAGACUCCUACGGGAGGCAGCAGUAAGGAAUAUUGCGCAAUGGGCGACAGCCUGACGCAGCGACGCCGCGUGGGGGAUGAAGGUCUUCGGAUUGUAAACCCCUUUCGGCAGGGAAGAUGGAACGGGUAACCGUUCGGACGGUACCUGCAGAAGCAGCCACGGCUAACUUCGUGCCAGCAGCCGCGGUAAUCC
rnacentral:rRNA from 1 species